UACGUAGGGGGCAAGCGUUGUCCGGAAUCAUUGGGCGUAAAGCGCGCGCAGGCGGUCACGCAGGUCAUCUGUGAAAGCACUCGGCUCAACCGGGAUGUUGCGGGUGAAACCGCGUGACUUGAGGGUGGGAGAGGUCGGUGGAAUUCCCGGUGUAGUGGUGAAAUGCGUAGAGAUCGGGAGGAACACCCGUAACGAAGGCGGCCGACUGGACCACACCUGACGCUGAGGCGCGAAGGCCAGGGGAGCGAACGGG
rnacentral:rRNA from 1 species